rnacentral:rRNA from 1 species
GAGUGGGCGGCGUGCUAUACAUGCAGUCGAGCGGACAGAUGGGAGCUUGCUCCCUGAUGUUAGCGGCGGACGGGUGAGUAACACGUGGGUAACCUGCCUGUAAGACUGGGAUAACUCCGGGAAACCGGGGCUAAUACCGGAUGGUUGUUUGAACCGCAUGGUUCAAACAUAAAAGGUGGCUUCGGCUACCACUUACAGAUGGACCCGCGGCGCAUUAGCUAGUUGGUGAGGUAACGGCUCACCAAGGCAACGAUGCGUAGCCGACCUGAGAGGGUGAUCGGCCACACUGGGACUGAGACACGGCCCAGACUCCUACGGGAGGCAGCAGUAGGGAAUCUUCCGCAAUGGACGAAAGUCUGACGGAGCAACGCCGCGUGAGUGAUGAAGGUUUUCGGAUCGUAAAGCUCUGUUGUUAGGGAAGAACAAGUACCGUUCGAAUAGGGCGGUACCUUGACGGUACCUAACCAGAAAGCCACGGCUAACUACGUGCCAGCAGCCGCGGUAAUACGUAGGUGGCAAGCGUUGUCCGGAAUUAUUGGGCGUAAAGGGCUCGCAGGCGGUUUCUUAAGUCUGAUGUGAAAGCCCCCGGCUCAACCGGGGAGGGUCAUUGGAAACUGGGGAACUUGAGUGCAGAAGAGGAGAGUGGAAUUCCACGUGUAGCGGUGAAAUGCGUAGAGAUGUGGAGGAACACCAGUGGCGAAGGCGACUCUCUGGUCUGUAACUGACGCUGAGGAGCGAAAGCGUGGGGAGCGAACAGGAUUAGAUACCCUGGUAGUCCACGCCGUAAACGAUGAGUGCUAAGUGUUAGGGGGUUUCCGCCCCUUAGUGCUGCAGCUAACGCAUUAAGCACUCCGCCUGGGGAGUACGGUCGCAAGACUGAAACUCAAAGGAAUUGACGGGGGCCCGCACAAGCGGUGGAGCAUGUGGUUUAAUUCGAAGCAACGCGAAGAACCUUACCAGGUCUUGACAUCCUCUGACAAUCCUAAAAAAUAGGACGUCCCCUUCCGGGGCAAAAUGACAGGGGGUGCAUGGUUGUCCUCACCUCCUGUCCUGAAAAGUUGGGUUAAAUCCCCGCACCAACCGCAACCCUUGAUCUUUAUUUGCCCCCUUUCCUUUGGGCACCCUAAAGGGGAUUGCCCGUGACACACCCGGAGAAGAGUGGGG